rnacentral:snRNA from 1 species
AUGCUGAACUGUCAGUCCAUUAAACCUCUUUCCUUUACAAAUUACCCAGUCUAGUGGAUGUGCUGACCCCUGCAAUUUCCCCAAAUAUGGGAAAUUUGACUGCAUAAUUUGUGGUAGUGGGACUUUCAUUCACACUUUCUCCUU